AGAGGGUCUCUUCUCUCUUAUUCAAUACAGUAAACCCUAGAUUACUCGCCAUUGAUUUUAGUCCAAUUCUCGCUAUUAACAAAAUCAUCCGUCGGCCUCGUCACCAGUGAACGCCCUGCAUUCUCCGCUAAAUCUUUCAUUUAUUGUUCUUAUUUUUUUUCUUUCUUUCCUUCUCUUAUUUUAGUUUAUUUCCUUAAUUCUUCGACCCAUUUCUUAAUGUUAACCUUCAAAAUCUUAUAGCACAACUCCAACCAAAACUUUGCAAAUUCACAAAAAUAAUAACAAAAAUCUCAAAAAUAGCUUAUUCUCUAAUGAUACAAUUUUUCCAUUUUUUCUUUAUAAGGACUUGAGUUGAAACAAAUAUACAAAGAAGAAACAACCUUCAAAGUUCAAAUUCUUUUUUCAGUUUUCUCACAUUCAAAUUUCACUCUGUAAAGCUUUCUAGAACAAAAAAUGUGUUAAAUUUUGAAAAAGGUGAGAUCAGAAAGAGAUAGAGGAGAAAACUUGUUCUAAUUACUAGGACAAGGCAUCGAACAUGUGAAUUGCAAUCUUAUGAAACUUCUUCUUGUACUUCUUCACUUAUAUGAAUGAAAAUUUAUGAGGAAAAUCCUAAGGGGAGUAACAGAGCUAAGCACCACAGAAAAUGAAAUCCUAAGGGGGGUGGUGGAGUUGGUGGGUUUCGUCUUCAAUGGGAAAAUGAAAAGGAAAUUGAAACAUGAAGGGGGAAUGGCUCGGGUAAUGGGCUAAAAAGCGGUGGAUUCGUAAAGGGAAUCAGGUAUUAAAAUUAGGAAAGGGUUAUUUAAUUUCGAGCUUGCCACGUGUUAUUUCAUCUAAAUUAGGGAUAUAUUUGUUUCACACUACGACGGUAAAGUUCCGAUUGAAGGGAUAGUAAAAUGGAGGGUAUAUUUAAAUUAAUUUUAGGCGAAAAUCAUGUAUGUUCCGAUUGAACACUUCAUGUAACACAAAUUUGUUCCAAAUAAAUACUUUUGCGUGACAUGUCACAUUAAGUAUAAUGCACCUCUGUUGGGCGCGUGAAGGGAUAAAUUUUUGCUGACUGUUGACUCUCCUAACGUUAAAAUGUUGACGUCAACUAGCCCAACGGAUCUAUACAUUCCCAAAUUAAAUUAGAACCCUAAUUUCUCCAUCUGAGACCCGUUUCUCUCUUUCUUUCUUCUUCUGUUCUUUACUCUUCUUCCUCUGUUCUUUACUCUUCUUCCUUUGCUGUGUACAUCUUGUUUCAUUUUCUUGUUUCUUUUCUCAUAGCUGAAUCUUCUCUAUCUUGUUUUCUUAUUUUUCCUCCUAUUUGAAACAUUCAAAUAUCACAAAAUUCAGUGUACGAAGAGGACCCUGAUUUAUGUUGUUGCGGUGAUUAUGCUAAGUUGAAGACCUCGACCACCUCAGCAAACCCAGGCCGCCGAUUUUAUGGUUGUAAAAUUUCAAGAGAAAAUGGUGGAUGUAAUUAUUUUAGAUGGUUUGAUGGUCCAUCUACGGGCCCAUCGGAGAGGGAGCAACUACCAAGUCGGGCGAUGUUGCAUUUAAUGAGUGAUCGACUAAGAGUGAAAGUAAAAGAACUUGAAGAAGAAAGUGAUAAAUUAAAACAGAAAUUGAAGGAUGUUAAAGUGCAAAUGGAGUCUCUAGUAGUGAACUGCAAGGAGGCUGAACAACAGAGGGAUUGGGCAAGAGCCAAAUUCAAGAUGCUUAUGUUUUUUUUUGUAUUUUCAUAUGUAUAGUCUGGAUUAUGGUCGUGUAGUUCCAUGUACUUUUAUGCACAGCUAAACUCGUAGUGGACUAGAUAAUGGUCUUAUGUAUUGUAGCAGUAGAACAAGUUGUUUUUUAUUGAAACUUUGUAUUGAUCUCCCAGAAAUUUAUGGUAUUUUGAAGGCUGCUACUAUUUUUGCAAGAAUCUGUGAUACACCAAAAAUCUUUUAGCUAA